UGCCGCCUGUGUUAGGGAUGGGAGGGUAUAGGAACCAGCUUUCUGGAUUUGGUCGUCCAGAUUUUGAUUAUGAUCCUCUCCCUUGUGCUGGUGAAGCUCCAAGUGAUUUCACCAUGAAAAUUCUGUGUUCAGCUGCAAAAAUUGGUGGCGUUAUAGGCAAGGGGGGUUUCAAUGUAAAACAACUGCAGCAGGAAACAGGAGCAAGUAUACAUGUUGAGGAUGUCGUACCCGAAUCUGAUGAAAGAGUUAUUCAUGUCUCCUCUUUGGAGGUAAUGUAUCUCAUUGAGGAAUUCAUAAUAUUAGCAUCCUCAUGAGCAUGUCACCAAGCCAUUUUUUUCCUUCCAGUCUCUGUGGGAUCCCAGAUCACAAACUAUUGAUGCCAUACUUCAACUUCAAAGUAAAACAAGUGAAUUUUCUGACAAAGGAAUUAUCACUACAAGGCUUCUUGUUCCCUCAAAUAAGGUUGGAUGCAUUCUUGGUCAAGGAGGACAGGUUAUCAAUGAGAUGAGGAGGAGGACACAGGCAGAUAUUCGUGUUAUUUCCAAGGAUGAUAAACCCAGAUGCGCAUCUGCAGAUGAAGAACUUGUGCAGGUGAUUUAUCUGUAGUCUGCAAGUUUAGACUAGUCACUUCCGGUUCACAUAUGCCCCACUUUCAGUUUUCUUGUGCAUGUCGGUACUGUUGUUUCCACUAUCUUGUGAGAAAUUUCCAUCUCAAAAUAAUUGAAGUUGUAUUUAUUCAGAUAUCUGGAAGCUUUGGUGUUGCAAAAGAUGCCUUGGUUGAAAUUGCUUCUAGGCUUAGAGCAAGAUCCCUUAGGGAUGUAAAUAGCAAGGCGGAAUCUGCUCCUGUUAGGCCACUUUCUGGAUUUGGUCCUUCAGAGGAUUUCCGAAGUGGAGAUCCACAACGUUCAGGUGUGAUGGAAGCUGGCAGCUCUAGAAGAUAUGAUCAUUUGAAGGUAUGGAAGAUCAUCUAGAAUGUUGCUUCUACUGGAGUUAAUACCUUUAUUUUUUUUAAAUAACUGUGGCGCUUGGACCAAUUCAUACCUUCAUUUCUGAUUGUUUAUAUUUGGUGUUAGGAAAAGUGCGAUAUGUUUGUUGUAACCUCUUUACUAGGAUCAUUUACAAUAGGAGAACACAAAGUCGUAACAACAUUGCACUACCAUAUUACCUGCAGAAUGCAUCAUCUAAUUCAUUUAAAGGGUGGAGAUGUUGUGGUGGUAUGAGGCACCAAUCCCGGACUCAAAAUGAAUUUACUGGAAUUGUACAAUAGACAUGCCUAUGUAGGGAAGCUUCUUAAAUAUUCUUAUGCCUCAUUUCUGUCCCAUUCUUAUAAAGGAAUAGAUUACAACUAUUGGUGUCUAUUAGGGGCAUCAUUGAUGGUAAAGUUGAAUAUCCUCUGUACACUAGUUCACACAAUAUGGUGGGGUGUGGGGUUAGACCGUAUGGAUCUCAAUUUGGCAAAGCGUGAGAUAUGUGGGAGUUGGGGCAGACAGGUGACCAUGGAUGACCAUGCUGCUAAAAUGAUUUUGUUACCCUACCCCCACCUCAGGGGAAAAAAUGGAAAAUGUAAAAAAGGCCUUUUGGCUGCUGUCUGUUAUAUAUGAGUCCUGCACUUGCCAAUGUGAGUCUACCAAAGGCUCGCAUUAAUUUGAUAAAUCUAGCUAAAAGGCACAGUAAGUGGGUCUAGAUACUUGUUGUUCAUCAUUGGUCUGACAGUUUAGUCAAAUAGUUGGAGAAGUCGGGUGUCAACUAUAAUCAGUCAUAUCUAUCAGUGAUCUGUUUUUGGAAAACAUAAGAAGAAAGUUCUUACAACUAUGUGUUAGGGCUGUUCAAACUUUAGGGUGGUUUGUUUUCUUCUAUUUGCACCUUUGAGAGCACUCCAAGUGGCAAAGUUAUAGUGCAAAGAUGAGAUACAUUGCAUUGUGCUACAAUUACUUUGUACAGUAAGAAGAGGUUACUAAAUAAUUUUUCUUGUUAAAUAAGUCAUUCUACCACCUUUUUAGUGAUACUAGAAUAACAAGAAGAUUGUGAUAGAGUACUUUGGUAAUUUUUUCUCUCUAAAUUAUGCACCUAAGCCUCAUUAAGCCUCAGUACCAAACAAGUUGGAGUCGGCUAUGUGAAUCCUCACUUCUUCAUUUAAGCUCAACCAAUGUCAUAAUCAUAUCAUACCAAAUAAAAUAAAAGUGAAAUAUAUAUAUAUAUAUAUAUAUAUAUAUAUAUUAUCGUAGUAAUAAUAAUAAUAAUAUUAGUAGUUCUCUAACAAGUCUAAAACUUAUUCCCAACUAGUAGAUAUCAUGCAUAUGAAUCUUUUUCUUCUAUUGUGUCUUAUCUUUAGCUAAGCUUGCAUUGAUUCCAAGGAUUUGUAGGUCUUUCUAAGACAACUUCCUUCUAUGUGAUUUUAGGCCUACUGGAGCUUUAAGUACAAAAACAACAACUAAGCCACAGUACCAAAUAAGUUGGGGUUGGCUAUGUGAAUCCUCACUUCUUUCAUUUAAGCUCAAUUAAUGUCAUCAUCAUAUCAUAUCAAAUAAAAUAAAAGUGAAAAAUAAGUUUUACCUAUUUUAGUAGAUAUCACGCAUAUGAAUCUUUUUGCUUCUAUUGUGUCUUAUCUUUAGCUAAGCUUGCAUUGAUUCCAAGGAUUUGUAGGUCUUUCUAAGACAACUUCCUUCUAUGUGAUUUUAGGCCUAUCCCGUUCCCUUUAUAACACCUUCACUCACCAUAGUUUCACACCUACGGACUGUGUAUAUGCAGGUUGAUGCAGUACAUGACCAAACCAUCUCAAGCGACCUUCUGCCAUUUUAUCCUCAAUGCGUGUAGUCAUUUCUAAAUUUGUCUAAUCUUUUUUUAUCGCACUUCCAUCUUUGCAUCCGCAUCUCUACAACACUCAUCUUGUGGAUAUGUUGGACUUUGGUGGUCGGGUAUUCAUUACCAUAUAGCAUUGCGGGUCUUGUAGCUCUUCGGUAGAGUUUAUCUUUCACUUUGGUAGGCAUCCUUUUAUCACAUAACAACCCAGUAUACUUAUCCAUUGCAACCAUCCGAUUCUAAUCCUAUGAGUAACAUCUUCAUCUACCAUUCCAUUCUCCGGAAACAACGAGCCUAGAUGUUUAAAUCGUUUUCAUUUUUUCACCACAAUCUCUAGUCUCACCUCAACUUCGCUCUUCUUAUGCUUGCUAAACUUGUAGUACAUGUAUUUAGUCGUACUUCUUCUUAUCCUAAAACCCUUACUCUCGAGGUUGCUUUUGCAUAGUUCAAGCUUUUGGUUGACAACCUCGUAGUUUUGUCAAUUAACACAAUAUCAUCAACAAAUAACAUACACCAUCAAAUAACAUACACCAUGAGAUUUAUAUUGUAUUAUGUUGGUUUGCUCAUCCUUAACUAGGGUAAACUAGUAGGGGCUGAAUGCCGAUCCCUGGUGUAGACCCACUAUUAUGAAAAACUCCUCAGUAUCUCCUACUAAUGUUUUCAGGCUAGUGGCGGCUCUGUCCAUUAUGACAACUCCCUCCGUUUCAAUUGAGAUGACACACUUUCUUUAUUAGUCCGUUCCAAAAAGAAUGGCAAAUUUCUAUAUUUAGAAACAAUUUAACGUUAAACUUUUCAUUAUACCUUCUUUACCCUUAAUGAGAAUCUUUUAUAGCCACACAAAUAUCAUGACCCCACUAAGGUUUUGCCCCUUAAGCUUUUAGCACCACAUGUUUCAAAAGUUUCUUUUAUUUCUUAAAUUUUGUGCGAAGUCAAACUACCUUAUCUAAAUUGAAACAGAGGGAGUAUGUAAUAUGAAUUCCAUCACUCACCAAAGGGCCUUUUGUGGUACUCUAUCAUAUACUUUCUCGAGGUCAAUGAACAAAUGUGUAGAUCUUUCUUCCGUUCGCGAGAAAUUUCCAUCAAUCUUUCUAGCAAGAAUGUAGCCUCCGUUUUAGAUCUAAAGGACAUAAAUCCAAAUUGGUCGUCUGUCACUCUUGUCUUGUUCUUAAGUCUACGUUCUAUCACUUUUUCUCCCAGAUUUUCAUCGUAUGAUUGGGUAUCUCCUUUGUUCUUAUAGAUUGGAAUCAUGAUACUCUUCUUCCACUCAUCGGGCAUCCUACCAUUUUUUAGUAUAGCAUUGGAUAGCUUGGUGAACCAUUCUAAUCCAAAGUCCAAGCUCUCCAAGACACAUUGCAACUCUAUAGGGAUAGUGUCUGGACCACAAGCUUUUCUAAUCCUCAUAUUUUUCAUAGCAUCAUUUACCUCUGUCGACCUAAUUUUACGAGUGUAGCUAAAGUUUUUACCGUGCGCAGACGUGUGGAGCUUUAAGUACAAACGGCAACUAAAACACGAGCUUCAAUGAAGAAAGGAGCUGAUGAAGGAAAAUAAGAAAAAAUACAUGUAAUGCUAGAAAAGAAGGACAAAGUACGAACAACAAUUUUAUGGACCAAAGAAUUUAAAACAACGACCAUCACAACUACUAUGUCUCAAUGUUAGACUAGUUGGGUUGGUUAUAUGAAUCCUCUAUAUUUAUUUUGCUGUAUUUGAGUCCCUUUCAUUUCAGUGCUUAAUAUUUUGUCUUUUAGGAGAAAUUUAUUGUAACUGGGAGUGAACCAAAUAAUUGAAAAACUGCACUUUGAUUAGAAUAUUUGGCGUGAAAAUCAUGCUAAUCAAAUUCAAAAAUUGUUUUAAAUUUCUGAUUCAUAUGCAAGUUUCUUGUUCAGAAUAAUGACUAGUUUUUUUCUUACUAUAUUCUAUUUUCUUAUUCUUCAUUAUUAACAUAUUCAUCCAUGAAAUUCCAUUAAUGAAUUAGUAUAUCGUGUUGUCAUCUAUGUCAAAUGUAGUGUUAGACAAAGCCUAUAGUAGUUGUGUUCCGCACGCUGCAUAAAUGAAAGUGACAAUUGGGCGAGUGAGGCCCCUGGCCUGCACUGAGCUGAACUCUAGGAGUUUAAGCAUGCCUAAACAAGCCUUUAGCAGCAUUGUUCUUUUCUAGCUUGUAGUUGGAUGAGGCAUAAAACAUUAGUGAAGAUUCCUUUCGCUAGUUUAUGAGGCUAUAUAGGUGGUUUUCAAGAUGGGUGUCUUGUUCCGUCAAUUCUUACCAUUUCAGUAUUAUGGAUGAAAGAUUGUACUCUCUCUGGCUGCAAGAUUUCAAGUUAAAUGUCUUGUUUGACCUUUUCAAAGUUUCUAAAGAUAUGAAUAGUGAUUAUCUAUUGAGUUUGGAGACUAAAAUUGGGCAAUGUCUAAUGUAAAAAGGGAAGAGAAUACGAAUUAACAAUAUUUUAUGGAAUCAACUCUUGUCACUACAAGAGGAGCUGCUUAAAUUAGGAGCAAUAAUCUAUAAAACAAGUAAUUAUUUUCUAAUAAUGAAGAAAAUAAAUUUGAGUUUGCUUAUUUUGGAAACAAAGAAAGUAGCCUGCAAAAUCAUGCUAAAAAGCUAUUUCCAAGACAAUUGCUGGAAAAAUGCAUAUUGCCACUAGAAUUGAUUUCGGAAAGAGAGUGGCACCGCACCCAAGAAGAGAGGAAAGGUGCUAGUUGCUAAAGAGGAGGUGUUGGACGCUUGAGAAAGGAGGUGACUGUUGCUGUAAAGAGGACGUGGCAGUCACUAGAAAUAAAGAAAUAAAGAAAAGAAAACACCGACCAGGUCACCAGGCAGGCGGAAGGCCUUCCACCUGUAGAGAAAGCUAUUUGAGUUUCUAGAAAAAUCGUAGAGGCUCUGAUACCAUGUAAAAGACGUAGAGAAACUGAGAAGAGAAUACUUCUUAUUGAAGUGAAUCUGGGUACUACAAGGGGAGCUCCUUAAGUAAAAUAAGAUCAGUGAUUAUUCUAUGCAAACUAUAAAAAGUAGUAAUGAAUGUAAAUAUUCAUAGUUUUGCUUUUUGCGAUUUUGUUGAUGUGAAGCACACCGUCACUACUGAAACAGAUCGAACUAUUCAGAAAACAUCUGUUGCUUUUGCUUUUAGGGUGUUGAAAACUUUUUUGUAUUUUGACCAAAACUAAUAGCCUUAUAAGGAAGGUGGUGAAUUGAUUGUAAUUUCCCCUUGAACAUAUAUUUGGAUGUUGAAUGAGUGACUUGUCACACUAUUCUGGGUUAUGGAAACCAUUUGCUGCCAUGGUCUUUUCAGUUGGACCAGUUGACUAAAGAAGUGUCACAUUCUCUCUGUAGGGUGCUGUUCGUGAAUAUGACCAUCCGAGUUAUCCAGAUCUUCCCAUUGCUACUAGGUACUACCAGUACCCAUUGCUGAAUGCGUUCAUUUUUCCUUGCUUUUUCUGUUGUAGUUCAUCUGAUCACCAUUGUGAACUCUAGAUACCCAAGUAUCAGUAGUCCUCUGGAGGUGAAGUUUCCAGACCAUUCUUUUGGCUCUGCAAAAAGAACAGGAGGGUACAACAUUAAUGAGGUAAAUUACUCUGCCUAGAGCUACAAAGAGGUGGUUUUGUGAGUUAUUCUUUUUGUCUCGUUCUAUCCAUUUUAUUUCCAACUAGAUAGAAGACUCUUACCUUGUGUUAUUCCCUCCAUUGGAGUUUUAAUAGACCUAUUGAGUGAAUUGCUCGAUAUUUUUGCUCUGAUUCCACCUUUUCCUUUUUGCGAUACAGAAUUAUAAAUCUCUCAUGUUCUCCAUUUUUAUGUUAUAAUAUAUUUGGGACAUGCUAGAGAUAAAUAGAAAAAAAUCACACGUCUUUUACAUGUAUUUUCAUAUUCCAGCCUUGAUUCUUUAAAAUGUUGUAUGUCAUAUGUGUUUGAUUUAUCUUAUGGUAAAUUAAUUUCUAAAUAGUGUAGUUCUUUUUUUCUUUAUUGUUGUCUUUUUGUAUUCUGCUAUAUGUAUUAUGAUCUUUACAUAUGCGUAACAGUUGUUUGUAAUGAUAUUCCUGUUAGUGAUAAUUAUAUUUUGAUUCAUGGUGUUAUGUUAGAAAGCCUUAUCCUCUCUCCAUAUCAAUUUAUGUGAUACACUUUUCUUAUUAGUCCGUUCCAAAAAGCAUGACACAUUUUUAUAUUUGGAAACAAGUUAACUUUAUACUUUCCAUUUUACCCUUAAUUACAACAACAAAAAAAAAUCAGUGUUGUCAAAGGCGCGCUUAAAGCGCGCUUAAGCCCUGAAGCGAGGCUCAAAACACGUUGAGCGCUUCGCCUCGCUUUGUGGGCGCUUUAGUGUCACAUCAAAUCUCUAAGGCAUAAUUUUCCUUGCCGAUGAGUGUAAUCCUGAAAAGGCGACCUUAAACAAUUGGUAUUUCACUUUAUCGUGAAUUUUUUUUCAAUUUCUUUUUCCAUAUAUUUGUUAUUCAUGCUUAUAAUGAUUAGUCAUGGACUACAUGCAUAUUUUUACUUUUUUCUCCUGUUGCGCCUUUUUUCAUUAAAGCUCACGCUUUAUUUGCGCUUUGCACUUAAAGCCCCAACGGACCUUAGAGCGUUUUUGCGCUUUUCGCCUUUGAUAACACUGCAACAAACCCAGUGUAAUCCUACAAGUGGGGUCUGGGGAGGGUAGUGUGUAAGCAGACCUUACCCCUACCUUUGUGAAAGUAGAGAGGUUGUUUCUGAUAGACCCUUGGCUAAAGAAACACUAAACAAGAAGCGACCAGCAGUAACAACACAAAGAAAAAAACAAAGACACUAUGUGUACCAAAGAUCUAAAAAUAAGAAAUACAAGAAUACUACUAACAAUACUGGUAAGAAUGACACAAUAUGGAAUAACAAAGAUCAAGGAACACAAAAAUGUAAGAAUAAUACUAAUACUGCAGGUAUGAUUAGGAGAAACUCUCGACUACUUAUCAACCUACAAUCCUUAUUUUCGACCUCCACACCUUCCUAUCGAGGGUCAUGUCCUCGGUAAGCUGAAGCAAUGACAUGUCCUGCCUAAUCACCUCUCCCCAAUACUUUUUUGGCCUACCUCUACCCUUCCUCAAACCCGCCAUGGUCAACUUCUCACACCUCCUAACCGGGGCAUCAAUGCCUCUCCUCAUCACGUGCCCGAACCAUCUCAGCCUCGAUUCCCGCAAUUUCUCUUCCACGAGGGCCACUCCUACCUUGUCCCUAAUAACUUCAUUCCUAAUCUUAUCUUUCCCGGUAUGCCCAUACAUCCACCUCAACAUCCUCAUUUCGGUUACUCAUCUUCUGGACAUGGAAUUUCUUGACUGGCCAACACUCCGCACCAUACAACAUAGUCGGUCUAACUACCGCUCUGUUGAACUUGCCCUUAAGUCUUGGUGGCACAUUCUUAUCACAUAAAAUCUCUCUCGGGAAUGACUUGUGUAUCAAGCUUCAUGUCCACUUCUGCCUCAUGCGUCCCCUCACUGAACUUGCACUCCAAGUAUUCUGUUUUUGUCCUACUCAACUUAAAACCUUUAGACUCCAAGGUAUGUCUCCAAACCUCUAACCUAGCGUUAACUCCAUAGCGUGUCUCGUCAAUCAGCACUAUAUCAUAUGCAAAUAACAUACACCAUGACACGUCCCCUUGGAUUUGUUGCGUCAACACAUCCAUCGCCAGAGCAAAUAAAAAUGGACUAAGAGCCGAUCCCUGAUGUAAUCCCAUCAACACUGGGAAGUGUUUUGAGUCUCCUCCCACAGUCCUUACCCGAGUUUUAGCACCAUCGUACAUAUAUCUAAUCACCCUAGUGUAUGCUACUGGGAUGCCACUAACCAAACAUCUCCAUAAGACCACCCACGGAACUUUGUCGUAGGCUUUCUCUAGGUCAAUUAACACCAUAUGUAAGUCUUUCUUCCUCUCCCUAUACUGCUCCACUAGUCUCCUCACAAGAUGAAUGGCUUCUGUGGUCGACCGUCCCAGCAUGAAUCCGAACUGGUUCUCAGAAAUAGACACACUUCUUCUCGCCCUCCUCUCCGCCUCCCACUCCCAAACUUUCAUAGUGUGACUCAACAACUUGAUACCCCUAUAGUUGUUGCAAUUUCCCCUUUAUUCUUGUACACCGGUACUAUCGAGCUCCACCUCCAUUCAUCGGGCAUCUUCUGCGUCCUAAAAAUGACAUUAAACAAUCCAGUAAGCCACUCCAAACCCGCUUCUUUCCAAAAUUCUACCGGAAUCUCGUCCGGCCCAGUUGCUUUACCCCUACUCAUCUUCUGCAUCACCCACUCAACCUCCUCCACCUUAAAGUGCCUGCAAAAACCAUAAUCUCGUUGGCUCUAUGAGUUCUCCAACUCACCAAGUACGAUGUUCCUGUCACUAUCCUCGUUCAAGAGUUUAUGAAAAUAUGUCUGCCACCUAAGCCUAAUAUACGCCUCAUCCAACAUAUUUUAUCAUUAAUUAGAAGUUUUUUAUAGCCACACAAACUGAAAGCCCCACAAAAGCUUUUAUCCUUAAGCUUUUAAAACCACAAAUUUCAAAAGUUUUUCCUUUUUUUCUUAAACUCCGUACUGAGUCAAACGCAUCACACAAAUUGAAAUGAGGGAGUAACUAUUACUCAUAAGAGAUACUCCCUCCGUCCCAAUUUAUUUCGGACUCUUUCUUUUUUAGUCGAUCUCAAAAGGAAUGUCAUACUUAUUUAGAAACAAUUUAAUUUUAUUUCAUUUUACCCUUAAUGAGAUGAUUUACAGCCAUAUAGAUUUCUAUUGCUUGUUUAGACCACAAGUUUAAAAAGUUCUCUUUUCUUUCUUAAACUCCGUGCCUAAUCAAACACCGCCACAUAAAUUGGGACAGAUAGAGUAACAUAUUUGUUGUACAACAACAACAACAACAAAGACAGUGUAAUCCCAUAUAUGGGGUUUGGGGAGGGUAGUGUGUAAGUAGACCUUACCCCUACGUUAUAAAGAUACAAUGCACAAACCAGACCAAGCUUUAUCUUAACCCUUUUUGCAUGCCUAAAUGAGUUGGAUAUGAGAAGAUAAUUUUGAUGAUUAGUUUGAACUUUGAACAAAAUUGAUGUAACCCUUCGUGUUUUUGGCUAGUGAAGGGGGCAAGCUAGCUACUACUAAUAUUGUCAUGAUUUUCCCAGAACAUUUCCACUAGUGUUUGUAGUUUUUUGCUAGACUUGGUAUUUUGAGCAUUCUAAUAGUGUUUGGCCAAGUAUUUAUUUGGGCCAAAAGUGCUUUUGGCCAAAAAUUGAGGUGUUUGGCUUAGCUUUUAGAAGGAAAAAAGUGCUUUUGAGGAGAAGCAGAAUUUCAAAAGCACUUUUCUGAGAAGCACUUUUGAGAAAAACACUUUGAAGCAGUUUUCAAAAGUUUAGCCAGAUUACUGCUCAAAAGUGCCUUUUAAAUUAAUUAGCCAAACACAAACUGCUUCUCACCAAAAGAACUUUUUUGAAAAGUACUUUUGAGAAAAACACUUCUCAAAAUAAGUUGAUUUUAGAAGUUUGGUCAAACAUGCUAUAAGUGAUGCUCUUAUAGUUGUAUAAUGACUUUAGUCUUUUGUUUUAAUAUAUUAUACUCUAAUCAUUAAUUACCAAAAGUAAAACCUCUUUCUGAUUUUGCUAUCCAUUAUGUAAUCAACUGUAUUACUAAAUUUUACAUAGUUAAUUGUAAUAUUCUCUUCCCUAUACAAAUAUUGUUUGGUCUAGACUAUAAUUUUGUAGAAGCAGUUGUUUGCGACUAUUACGUACCUGAUACAGUCAUUACACUCUUAGGAUGCUCAGAUUACCAAGUCUUAGCCAAAAUAUUGCAAACAUUAGACGAAACACUUCUAGGAAAACUUGUUCCUGCUUUAUUUGCCAUUAACGAAGCAAUAACAAAAUAAAGUGGAACUAGUUCAUGACAAUGUUAAUAUUAGCUAGCUUGGCCUCUUCACUGGCUAAAAACACGAAGGAUUGCAUCAAUUCUUUUCAAACUAAUCAUCUUAAUUAUCUUCUCAUGCAUCUAGAGAUGAUCUAAUUAUCGUUGUUUCAACAUAUGCUAUACACUAAGCACAAGUUAUGUUCACGUCUCUAAUGCCAUGAACAAGAACUUUGGGAAGUAAACGAUUUCGACCUCUAGAAUUGCGAAGCCGAGUUUGAGGUACUUUGUGUAAAUUGCUUGGACCAAGCAUCCUGCUAAGAGCUUCUCGACAUAUCAUCCAUGUGGCUAUACCAUAUGGUCGGUUCAGUAAUCUCUGCAACACCUUGGCUCAUUUUAUGUAGUUACCCAACAACAACAACAACAACAACGACGCAGUGAAAUUCCACGAGUGGGAUUUGGGGAGGGUAGUGUGUACGCAGACCUUAUCCCUACCCCGAGGGGUAGAGAGGCUGUUUCUGAUAGACCCUCGGCUCAAGAAGACGAAAAGAUGACGAAAAGAGAUAAUCUAUCAGUACCAUCAAUAAAACUAUAGAAAACAUAACAGCAUCACAAGAACCAGAAAAUAGAUGAAAAGCAAAACAAUAACCAGUAGAUAAAGUCCGCCACUAAGAGAAACGAAAGAGUGGUGUGAACUCAACAUUAACCACUAGCAGUCUAAGACUAAAUCUUAACAGGCUAGCCUCACUCUGGAGUGCCGUAGAGAUAUGCACAAAUCUCCCCUAACCUACAACCUUAAUGCUCGACCUUCACAACUUCCUGUCUAGGGCCAUGUUCUCGGUAAUUUGAAGCCACGCCAUGUCCUGCCUGAUCACCUCUCCACAGUACUUCUUGCCCCGCCCUCUCUCUCUUCUCGUACCUACCAAAGCCAACCGCUCACACCUCCUUACCGGGACAUCUGGGCUUCUCCUCUGAACGUGCCCGAACCCCAUAUGAGCCUUGCUUCCCGCAGCUUGUCAUCCAUGGGGGCCACACCCACCUUCUCCCGAAUAUCUUCAUUCCUAACCUUAUCCAUCCUAGUGUGCUCGCACAUCCACCUCAAUAUUCUCAUUUUUACUACUUUCAUCUUAUGAAUAUGUGAGUUCUUAACUUGCCAACACUCAGCCCCAUAUGUAGUUACCCAACUUUAGUAAUAAUAUUUCAUAGUUAUAGUUACCCUGGUCAAGACCGGAAGCAUGAGCAACUUCUUUCAAGGUGCUUAUACUCUCAUUGUUAUCCCGGUAAGAAAAGUUAUGUAUUCUAAUCAAUACCAUACUUAAAUUCUGCUCUACUCAACUUUUCAAGAAAGCAAAUUCAACGGUAUCAUUAUGUGGUAAUUUGGCUAGGUUUCUUUCUAAAUUAAGAAAGUGCUAAAAAGAUUUUGAAAACCCAAUGCCUCAAAAUUCCUUACCGCUGCAUUUAUACGACACAGAAUCCGAUCAUAAGUAAUUCACAUAUAUGGUAGGCCAAUAAAUAAAAUGAAAAAGCACGUCUACAGAAUUUACUUUAAAAAUAAUUCACUAAAAGAACAUUACACUGUAGGAAUAUUUGUCAAAUUCAUGUCCAUACUCAUGUUUUUAUCCAUUUCAGUAUAUAAACUAGAUGAUGAAUAGUUCAGUCUAUUGCUUCUUUAAGUCUAGAACUUGUAAAGUGCAAUAAGGUGUAAACUAGAAUGAGUAGGUAAGUUUAAAUUGAUGUAUUUAUGAAAGGUAAGACCUAUUGCUUCUUUAGGUCUAUUUCUUUAUGCCAUUCCUUACACUGACCCAUAAGCUCAUUGUUCAUCUUGAUUUUCUUAUGUAUUGUGUUUACGUAAUUGAUUAAUAGCAUUUCUUUAUAUUUAAUGUUGUUAGUGUGCCCUCUUAUAAUGGCCUUGGUUGAUGCAUCCACCUUCAGGAGUCGAUGGAUCAACGAAGGAAAAUCAUGUGAAUGAGCCUUAGAAUGUCUUUAGUUGACGCCCUAGGAUAUCGCUAAUAGUGGUAGUGCUGAAAAUCUGGUUGAGAAAGUAUGUUCUCACGAUGUGAAACUUAACUGGAGUUGGGGGUUUCUAGCCAUAAUUAAUUCACUUAUUAACGCAUACAAAGAUGAUUAAGAUGAGCUUGGUUUGAUUUGUCCAUUGUUUAUUGUGAUUGAGCUGAAUGUAUACGAGUCAUAGUAUGCGUAAUUACCCAAAUAAGAAAAUACUUAAAAUGUAUAGUUAAUAUACUACAACAACAACAACCUAGUUAAAUCCCACUAGUGGGGUCUGGGGAGGGUAGAGUGUACGCAUAUCUUACCCCUACCCUGGAGGGGUGUACAGUUAAUAUAAUAAGUCUUUUAUAGAGCAUAGAAUAAAUUCCUAUCAAUCUUUAACAUUUACAUAAAUUGAAAAUCUUGGCAUAUGCAUUUCCCAAGGAGAUGUAAACAUGAGGUUUCAGGAUAUUAGAGACUAACAAAGCAUUGUUGGAAGGAAAAGAGAUAGGAGGGCACUUUUGGGGAGAAAGCUCAUAAGGGAGGAAUUGGAAGGACAAAAAUUAACUGUGUAAUAUUCUUCCUAAUGCACCUUGAAGAUACAAGUUGACCCGUUUCAAUUUAUAUGAGGUAGUUUGAUUUUGCAUGGAGUUUAAGGAAAAAAAAAAAGACUUUUGAAUCUCGUGGUCCUAAAAGCUUUGUGGGGUCAUGAUAUUUGUGUGGCUAUAAAAGUUUCUCAAUAGGGGAAAAAUAGGUAAAAAUAAAAAGUUUAAAGUUAAAUUGUUUUCAAAAGUUUAAAGUUAAAUUUAUUAAUAUAUUGGAUAUGUUACCAUCUCAAAAAAAAAAAAUUAUUUUCAAAUAUAAAAAUGUAUCAUUCUUUUUGAAACAAAGUAGUAAGUAAAGUGUGUCAUAUAAAUUGAAACGGAGGGAGUAAUAUAUAACUUCAGGGAAUGGGAACUCAACGAUUGAGUAGUCAGUCAUUACCAAGCAAUUUAGCGAGGAGGAGAAUUACAGGCCAACCCUGGAUAAAGUAACAUUUCAGAGGAUUAGUAGGGAUGAAAGCGUAGCAUUUGAUAGACCUUUGAUAAAGAAGAGAGUUGAUGCAGGGACUAGCGAGGUCAGUAAGGUUCUGGGUUGUUAUGGGUUUAUGAUGGUCUUUUUCCUUCGUUUCUGGGAAUUAAUGGACAAUGAUGUGAUAGGAUGCGUUCAUUAUUUUUAUGUAUGGUACUUUUGAGAAAGGUUAUACUCAUUUCAUUUUGCUCAUUUGGAAGAUUGAGCCAAGGACAUAUAAAGAGUCUUUGCAUCUAUUAUUUUCAUGAAUGGUACUUUUUAGAAGAGUGUUAGCUCAUUUUCAUUUUGCUCUAUUGGAAGAAUGGGGCCAAGGAGAUAUAAAGAGUCUUGCUCUGUUAGUUUGGUAGAGAAUGUCUAUAAAAUAUUGUUGUUUUAACAAAAAAGGAGUCUAUUAAGUAAUUGCUUAUGUUCCUAUAGAGGAGGUUAAAAGCAAUUGGGAAUUUGUGUAAGUUGGACUCAUGCUUACUGCAAUUGUGAAUUUUUUUUGAUACAUUUGCUUGAGAGGAUGGAUUUUGAACAUACCCAGAAACAUGAACAUGGAUACACAUUUCAUAUCUAAUCAUUAGAAAAGACGAUACUUAUCGAAAAGGUUUAUUUUGUGCCUCACACAACUGAAACUAGUUGUGUGAGUCUUUUUUUUGUCUCAUAAGUUGGUGGACCUAAACCUUACACUUUUCGGUCUACAAACUUUGGGUCCACCAACUUGUGAGACAAAAAGAAGCCUCACACAAUUAAUGUCGGUUGUGUGAGGCACAAAGUAAAUUUUUUCAUACUUAUCACCAUUGCGCCCUAGGAUGUGACCUAGUGGUCAAUGAAGCUAGAAUGAACCAUGGGAGACCAGAGUUCAAAUCCUAGCCGAGCGAAGAAGAAAUCGUUAAGUGAUUUCUUCCCAUUUGUCCGAGUCUUAGUAGAUAGAAUUAUUCGUUACCUAUGAUUUUAAGAGGUAGCAGAUACAGUGAUUUAAUGAAGGUGCACACAGGUGCCUAGAUAUCACCAUUACUAAAAUAAAAAGUAAAAAAUGACAUUGUUGAAAUUAAUCCUUUUCAAAGCAUGCCCAGGAGGAUGAUGAAAGAAUUUUUGUGGAGCGGGAAGAAAGGAAGAAUAAGUACCACUUGGUAGAUUGGAAAAAAAAAAUUAGCAUUCGUAGCAAUGGGUGGGGGCAAGAGAUACGAACAUUGUCCAUAUUUCAAUAGGACAUCUUUAGAGGAAUAGUUGGGAAAUUUGAACAUAAGAGAACAUAUUAUGGCGGAUAGUGAUGACGACUAAAUGUGGGAGGUCGAAUGAAGGUUGGUUUUUGGGAAGGUAAGAACUACAUAUGAAUUGAACUUGAGGAAAUGGAUCAUGACGGAAAAGGAAAAUUUUACCAGAUUUGUUGCUUAAAACAUCAAUAACAGCACCAAGAUAUGUUUUUUGGCGGGAGUAAAGCUGUGAGGGACAAUUUUAUUGGAGGCCUUUCCAUGGGGUGUGCUAUGGUGUAUGGAAAGAGACGACAGUGGCAUGAUUAUUCAUAUCUCUGUAUAUUUCAAUUUAUCAAUUGCUUUUAAAGGAUUUAAAAUAACAAAAGUAUUUGCUUUAAAAAAAUUUGUAUAAUCUAUGCCUAGGACACCAUUUAUCGAACCAUGAAUGAAGUAAAGCAUGAGAGAAAGCAUAUCGGCUAGUGAUGUGAGGUCCCAAUUCUUGACUGGUGGGGACACCAAAGGCAUAUGCCCUUCCAUCCCUGCCAUCUUUUUUUGAAUAAGCCUAGGUCAUAUCUUUAAAAGAUUUAGUUUCUUCUCUUUCUAAGCAAUUUGGAUAAAUAAUUUGACCUUCACAAUAUUUUUAGGUAACUAAGUUUAGGAUUUUUCUUGCAAGUUUAGUUUGUUUGGUGCAUUAUCUUUUUCCUCUUGAAGAUAAAUAUUUUUAAAAAUUUAUUACUUUAGUAAAUACUUUAUUACAUCACAACCAAUUUAUCUUUUGCCAGUCAAUCUUUUAAACUAUUUGGUUAUCCUUUUCUUGACAGGAGGUUUUUUUUGGGGGGGGUGGGUGGGUGGGUAAAUAAAGUUCUGUUGUACCUGCAUCAAUUUUGAUAUGGUAUGCCCCAUCACUAGGGGAGGGCAUAGUUUUGGCAAAACACUAAUUCUAUAAUUUCAGAUUUUGGUUUGGUGUUUUGGAAUUACGGUUUGGAUUUUCGAAUAUCUGACUUCAUACUUUAUGUUUGGCCCUACCAAUUCGACAUUUGUCCAUUCCUAAGCCCAAUAGUAAAUUAAAUCAGACAACCACCGAAAAGGAGAAUAGGGUUUCAAAGUAUAACCAAGUAUAUUAUUCUUUUCUAGUUUCUACACGGUACUCACCACACUCGCUGCUUUCUGAAGUUGAGUAGCUAAAGUGAACCACUUUUGUUGGUCUCACAUACUUUUUGGUGUUACUCGAAAAAGUGGAGCACUCCGUAUCUAUUAGUGACUCAUCUGCUGCUAUUGUAAACAAAUUCAAGCUGACCAGUGGCAUAUUUCAAAGGUUUCAUGGUUGAACGGGCAUUUAAUGCCUAAAAAUCCUAACGAUAUAUUACUUUGUUUUUUUUCUUUUCUUAUUGUAAUACUUUUUCUUAUAUCAAGGGUUUGCAUUUGUACUUUUUUUUAAGAACCGUAGUAUCCGGGUCAGCUUGCGCUUACCUCGACUAAUUCCAUGGGAUACCUGCUACCUCCCACCAACAUCAGGUACCAGGUAACUCUAUAUACCAAGGCUUGGAUAGAUGGAAAGAAAUCACCUAGUGUUUUUGCGUCCGCUGAGAUUUGAAUAUGAGAUCCUACCCACUUCAUUGACCACUAGGCAAUACUUUUGGGUGGUUUGCAUUUGUACUUAUAGUUGUCAAAUGAUUAUGGUGGGAGUGUGGAAUUAUUAAGGCACUUGGCAAGGAUACUUUAUUUGGGCAUUCACUUUUGUAGGAAGAAAUCCAACUUAUAGGCUCAAAACUGAAAAUCCGAAAUAACCAAUCCGAAUAAUUUGAAACCGAACUUUAAAGCACCUAAUGAAUCCGAGCUUAUGUAGUUUGGGUUUGGUCUUAAUUUCUAAAAUCCGAAAAUUGAAAAUCCAAACUGAAGUUUUCAUAAUCCAAUCCGACCCCACCCUACCCAUCACUCCUAAAACCCUUGCCAAGGAGUCAACUGACUUUUUCCCACUUUGCUACCUUAGCACUCUAACAGGCAACAUCAAGGUUAGAGGUAGAGAAUCCUUUCACUUGGUUAUUUCCUACUUGUCAAAAUAUAUCUUGCAUUCUACUAUGCAUUUCCAUUAAAGUUUUCAGUAGAAAGGCUAUAAAGUGGAUUACUUGUUAAAUUAUUGAAAGAGAAUUAACUGCAGUAUAAAAAGACACAAGAACUUAAAGCCACUAGUUAUUAUUCAUACCGAUUUAUCCACAUAGAUGGAAGUGGAUUGUUUAUUGAGGAGAUGUUGCUUUCACGACUUGACUGUUUAUUUCUACUUCAUAUGGUUCUUACUGCUAAUUAUCCUUGGUAUAAAUCACAGGUUGCUGGAAGUAGGGCAAGAUUUCAGGAUCCUCGUUCUAUCAAUCCUGGAUUUAUUGAUGAUAUUCGGGGGACUUCGGAUUAUAUGAAUGCUGGGCACAAUGUUUUUCCUGGGUCUUCAGAGAAUUUGAAUGCGGGGCGCCCUACUUUUCAAGGAUAUGGGUCUCCUGCUGGACAGAGCAGCAAUAUUCAGCAAGGCGCUUACCACCAGAGUUAUCCUGCUCAACAAAGUGCAUAUCAAAGUUACACAGCUAAAAGUGGCUAUCCUAGUGGUAGUCCUUCCCAAUUGCCUUACCAAAACUAUAAUCCUCAUCAAGCUCCAUAUCAGAGCAUGAACUCACAGCAGCAGCCGCAGCCGCAGCCGCAGCAGCAGUAUCAGCAGCAGCCGUCAUACCAGAACAUGACUGCACAAGGUUCCUACCAUUAUUGAUGCUAGAUACUAAGUUCCUCAAAAUACUUAUGGUAGGUUUUAGUCAGUCUUGUACCCUAAUUUAAUCUCAUGUUGUGCUAUACUUGUUUCUGAAAGUGUUACUAAAAGUAAUUUAACUGCUUGCAUUCUAUGGAACUUCCCCCACCCCCUUAGUGCAUUGGUUAAGAGUAGCGUAUUAUGGUUGGAGAGGUUAAGUAGUUAAAGGUUUGGCAAAUUUUCAGAGAUCUCGCUUCAGUUUAACUCUGUAACAUUUAACUUCCUUGUGGCUUACGGUAAUACACUGAACUCCCUUAUAUAGAUUUCUUUGUAAUGAGAUUGUUACUCUUUAGAAUUUGUUUAUUCUACAUAUAUAAAUCGAUUGAUUUACCUUGCUCUUUAAAA
rnacentral:lncRNA from 1 species